rnacentral:pre_miRNA from 1 species
AUCAAACGCAUCAUUGAGUGCAGCGUUGAUGACCGUCACGAACUCGAUCGAAUUUACACCCGUAGUUCGAGAGGUUUCAUCGGCGCUGCACUCAAUCAUGUCUUUG